UUGGAGGGCAAGUCUGGUGCCAGCAGCCGCGGUAAUUCCAGCUCCAAUAGCGUAUAUUAAAGUUGUUGCAGUUAAAAAGCUCGUAGUUGAAUUUCGGGGUCAGCAGGUUGGUCGUGCCACUGGUAUGCACUGGCUUCGCUGAUUCCUCCUUUCUGAAGAACUGUAAUGCCAUUAAUUUGGUGUUGCAGGGAAACAGGACUGUUACUUUGAAAAAAUUAGAGUGUUUAAAGCAGGCUUUGGCUUGAAUACAUUAGCAUGGAAUAAUGAAAUAGGGCGUUCGAUCCUAUUUUGUUGGUUUCUAGGAUUGACGUAAUGAUUAAUAGGGAUAGUUGGGGGCAUUAGUAUUCAAUUGUCAGAGGUGAAAUUCUUGGAUUUAUUGAAGACUAACUACUGCGAAAGCAUUUGCCAAGGAUGUUUUCAUUAAUCAAGAACGAAAGUUAGGGGAUCGAAGACGAUCAGAUACCGUCGUAGUCUUAACCAUAAACUAUGCCGACUAGGGAUCGGAUGAUGUUAAUUUUUUAAUGACUCAUUCGGCGCCUUACGGGAAAC
rnacentral:rRNA from 1 species